GGCUGGGGCAGGCGGUGAGCUGGAAACAGAGACACCGUGGGGGGGUCGGCGAGGGGCAUCCCUUGUCACCCACAUCCGCCCUCGUGUCAUGCUGGCACCCGCCUUUUCCAGCCAGGCUUGGCUUAAUCAUCUCGGGAAUUAAUUUGGCCAAAAACCCGCUUUUUCUCCCUCCCCUUUUCCCCUUUUCAGCCGGAUCGGUUCCCGGAGCAGCCCAGCCCCAGGGAAGGGAGCCCCAUGGAGAGCCCGGAGUGACAAAACGGGUUCUGCCUUUCUGCCCAUCGCAGGGCUUCAGUCAGGGCAGGAUCCGGCCCCUCCGGUUCCCAUUUUCCAUCCGGGGCAGCAGCUGGAUGGCAAGCACCAAGUCAUUGGUCUCGAACAUGAGGACAUCCUGGAUGCCGAGGUCCUGCCGGCACCACUGGAUGAAGUUGGAGACGUUAUCCCGGGCAAUGAAGGAACCGGGCACCACAUUCUUGGCUUGGAAGAUGACC